rnacentral:rRNA from 1 species
GAUGAACGCUGGCGGCGUGCCUAAUACAUGCCAGUCGAGCGAACGGACGAGAAGCUUGCUUCUCUGAUGUUAGCGGCGGACGGGUGAGUAACACGUGGAUAACCUACCUAUAAGACUGGGAUAACUUCGGGAAACCGGAGCUAAUACCGGAUAAUAUUUUGAACCGCAUGGUUCAAAAGUGAAAGACGGUCUUGCUGUCACUUAUAGAUGGAUCCGCGCUGCAUUAGCUAGUUGGUAAGGUAACGGCUUACCAAGGCAACGAUGCAAAGCCGACCUGAGAGGGUGAUCGGCCACACUGGAACUGAGACACGGUCCAGACUCCUACGGGAGGCAGCAGUAGGGAAUCUUCCGCAAUGGGCGAAAGCCUGACGGAGCAACGCCGCGUGAGUGAUGAAGGUCUUCGGAUCGUAAAACUCUGUUAUUAGGGAAGAACAUAUGUGUAAGUAACUGUGCACAUCUUGACGGUACCUAAUCAGAAAGCCACGGCUAACUACGUG